GACGAACGCUGGCGGCGUGCCUAAUACAUGCGAGUCGAACGCAUUUUCUUUCACCGUAUCUUGCUACACCGAAAGAAAAUGAGUGGCGAACGGGGGAGUAACACGUCCGUAAUCUGCCCAUCACCGGGGGAUAACACUUUGAAACCGGUGCUAAUACCACAUAAUUCCAUUUACCGCAUGGUUAAUGGAUUAAAGGCGCUUUUGCGUCACUGAUGGAGUUACCCGGGGUGCAUUAGAUAGUUGGUGGGGUGACGGCCUACCAAGGCUGCGAUGCAUAGCCGCACUGCGGGGGUGGUCGGCCCCACUGGGAGUGAGACACGGCCCAGACUGCUACGGGAAGGAGCAGUAGGGAAUCUUCGGGCAUGGGCGGAAGUCAGACCGAACAAGGCCGCGGGAGUGAAGAAGGUCUUCGGAUUGUAAAACUCUGUUGUUAGGGAAGAAAAAGGAUGAGAGUGGAACGUUCAUCCCUUGACGGUAGCUAACGAGAAAGCAACGGCUAACUACGUG
rnacentral:rRNA from 1 species